UUUCAGCCAGAGCCCAGAACCAGCCGUUGUCCCCUGGCAAAAGAGGCCCAGUGCUGGGCCCUGGGCAAGUGUCUCCAGACCUCCCUACCUUUCUAUAUUAGUCUUCUUUCCCAACAGAACCUAUUUCCUUUUGCCACUAAAACUAGGUUGCAUCCAAAAGUUUCUCACAAGCUUUAAAAAAAAGAAAGAUGAAAAAUUAUACAGAAGAAUUCACAAAAGCUGCAGAGCACCAGGGCAGAGAAGCAGCGUCAGACACAGUGGCUGGCUGCAUAGCUGACAGAUGUUAUCAUCAUUGAAUGAGCGAGGAAAGGAGGGCUCUCAAGCGAACACAACAUGGCUACCUGUCUCCAGGCUCGGCGGCACUUCCCAUUGCUCUACACAAGCUAUGAAACAGUGAUGCCCUGGACAGCAAAAAGGUCUAUGAGCUUGCAUGCACAGCGCCCUUGGAAGAAGAUUGCGAUGGGCUAAAAGUUGUGAGGAUGUUGCAGGCAAGGCCUGGACUUGGUGCAGUGAAGGAAAUUCCAUCACACCUGCUCCCGACUCUAGGAAUGCCAAGUUAGCCAGCUCCCACUUCGCCCCAAAAGUCAGCCUCUCCUCCCCCUGUUACCAAGAGACAGAAGAAUUUAAGAAAAGGGAUGGAUCCCAUAUUUAAGAGGCUUGAAAUUGUAUACAUGACAUUGCUGAGUUAAGUUAUAAAAUACAGCCCCCUUCAUCGCAGGAAAAAUUUUAAAAAUGUAGUUAAAACUUAUCAUUUAAAAACCAUUGCACUAAGAGGAACGGAAAAUUCUGUUGACAUAAGAUGUGUACAAAACUAUUCCUAUUAUCAGUGGGGCUGGGAUAUAGCUCAGUCAUGGAGUGUUUGCACAGCAAUGUGAAUGGUCCAAGGUUCAGUCCCCAGAACUGGGAAAGAAAAGGGGGAGGGGAGGAGGUAUAUUCACAGCUGCAUUUCCAAUAUAGGCAGGAAGUGGAAAGAAUCCAAACGCCUACCAAUGAAUGGAUAAGUGUAAGGUGUUAUAUCUAUACAACGGGAUACUAGCCAGCAGUUGAAGAGUAUGAAAUAAUAAAGAUGACGGCAUGGAUGCCCUUUUAAAUUUCUUCCUAAGUAACAGAAGACAAUCACAAGGAAAGCACGCACUCCAUAUUUCUGGAGUAUAUAGGCAUACCUACAUAGAGACAGGAGAACAGUGGUUGGCUGGGACUUGGAGAGAGGGACUGGACUUUAGGAGACGGCAGGGUGGUGCAGGUGAAAAUGUUCUUGAAUUAAUUGAAGUGCUGGUUGGACCACUUGAUAACUGCAUUUAAAAACCACUGAAUUUUAUUUGUAAAUGGGGGAAUUGCAUGAUGCAUUGAUUAUAUCUCAAUAAAGUCUUUAAUAGUUUUUAAACAAUA